GGGAACUGGAGUCAGUGGCUGCUUUGUGAAGAAGAAGAAAGAGUCAGUGCUGUGAGGAACUGCCCAUGAGAAACACCAAGAAGCUGAGACAGAAAACUGCCGAAAACCAAAGAGGAAACCUCCAAGACGUAAAACUAUUUCCUCUUCCAGUGUAACAAAUAAUUACAGAGUGCUGAUUGUCCAGCUAAACCCCCGAAGCUCUGGCCCCUGUGCCCUUGAUAAGAGUAAGAAAAGGGUAAAUACCUGUGAAUGAAUCCUUUGAAGUGCCUUCAGUACAGCUGUAGUGUCUCUGUGUCUUUGCUUGGAUGUGCUGACAGUCUGACAUUGAAAAGUAGCUCUCCACAUUGCCUGCCCUUACUUUCAUGCCAGAAAUCUUUAGCAAAGAUGAAUAUAGAAUAAACCAAUUCUAUGGAAAUAUUAUGCAUACCACUGUAGUGCUAGAAGUGGAAGCAGGACUCCAGAGAACAUGCUGAAAUCCAUAUUCUAUGAAAAUGUGUCUUUGAAAAUUUGCAUUGUUCAGGUUUCAUUUAUUUGUAAAUCAUCUGCUGAAUGCUCACACCAGGAUCUUCUUAGCUUUGCCAGAACUCAACUGCCACUUUUGUAAAAUCAUUUCACAUUCUUUCCUGUGAAGCUCUGGGCAUUUAGGGCUGAGGAGCUGGGUGGAAUUGUUGGAAGGAUUGUCAUGAUCCAGAUCAUCCAUUAAUGAUACCUGCAUCCCUGUUCCAGUCCUGGCAGCAGUUACUCUUCCUUCUCCUACCAGUCUGCAAUGUUUUCCAAAAGACAACCAAAUCUGCUCUGUAGUUUACUUUUAUUGCUGCCUUGUGCUCGGAGUGCUCAUGCCUGAUGCAUUGACAAAUGGAUGUUGAAAUCAGGCAAAGUUGUCUUACCUGGCCUUGAUGAGAAUACAGAAUACUUUGCCUUACUUUGGGGAACUGACUUCACUGAGACCAUGAUUCAAAAGGCAUUUAAUCCUGUCUGCCUGUGGUCAAUAGUAAGUUUUACUGACUCCUAAUUUUAUUUAGAAUUAGGAAGAAAGAAGAGUUACCAUGGUUAAAAAAAAAAAACAAAAACAAAGCAAAUCAAAACAAAACCCAAAACUAACCCUGAAACAAAACAUCCUGUUAAUUGUGUUCCAGAGGAGAGUGUGUGAUGAAUUUUGAUGUGUAGUUCAUGAGGUCAUUUUCUUUAGGCAUAGUCAGGUCCUCCUCUUCUGUUAGAAGCGCAUUCCCUUUUCUCAGGCAUGGCUAUCCCAAAGCAGAGCUGUAUUUGUGACAUCUGAUCCUCCCCUGCCCUUGCUUCCAUUGCCUCAUUGUCCAUAAUAGUUCACCCACUUCAAAAAGAGAGCACAGAAGAUUGAUGGGACUCAACUUCUGGGAGAAGACAGCUGGAACUGGCUGUAUCCAGACAUGGAAGAAAUUGGGAACAAGAGCUGAUGAAUGUGAAUUAAUUGAGAGGGUCAGAGAAGGUGGCUUCAGAAGAAACAAAGAGCAUUGUCAAUUUUUGUAUUUGAAGAAUGUUAGUCUGAUGUAAAAGCCAUCUACAACCCAUUAAUGUGUAAAGACUUCAGCCGGGAGGAGAUAGGAGACGGCAAAACCAACGAAGUGUAAGGAAGAAGGCAAAAUGUUGCUGAGGCUCCUUGUGAGGACUCAGGAGAAGUGAACAUGUGCAGCCCUGGAUGGUGAGGCACUCUGUGAUGAGCAGCUGGAAGAAUGCGAAGUGGCAUCUGCAGUUAUGAUACAUUCCCAUGUACCACAUGCUUUUAGAAUAGAGCGCAUUCAGAUAUAGCCUGAUGACUGAUCUCAAGCUUGACCUUUCUCUCAAUUUUUUUUUUUAAUAUUUUCCUUCCAUUUCCUACUGCUUACU